UGAUAAUUCAUCCUGAUUUUAUUUAAUUUUAAAGACAGGGAUAUGUCACAAAAGUAAUAAGUUUACAUAUCUAAAAACGAAGGGUUCCGCUGAGAUUCUAGUUUAUGCCCUCAAGAUCCUUCUAGCUAAUAGUUUGUGCCACCUUCACAAACUUCUUCAGAGGGGAAGAAAGGUCUGCUACCAAUUGUCAUUCUCUAAAAGGGUUCUCACACAAGUAUCUUUAUCUGAUCUACAAAAGGACAGGGUACAGCAAUCUACUCUAAAACAGGUGAUAAGAAAGAUUUAUAAACUAGAUGAUUAUUAUGAAUGUGACUUUGUGUCUAAAAGCCUGCGAACAGGCUCGUGUUUUAAAAAACAUCCCAGUACAAAGAAUCACAUGAAACAGUCUCUACUUUACAAAGAAAUUAUGGUAGAACAUGUACAAAAUGACUAAAUAUGUCCCCUGUAUGAAAGAAAAGCCACAUACACUGGGACAGCUGCCUUUUGAUAGUGAUAAAUACAUCUUGCACAUGUACUACUGUGUUUAAGAGCUGAGAAUCAUUUGGACCCAUCUGCAGGGCUAGAAUGUACAUUAAGACUGAACAUUCUUCAUACAAUCAUAUACAGAGGGGUUUUGUCCUGCAGUAUUGAUAAAGACAUAAAACCUGAGAAACAGACUAAAGCAUUGUUUCAUCAAAUCAACAACAACAGGUUUGAAAAUCAAUCACGUUUCUUUCUAAAAUCAUUUUCAGGGACAAAACGCGGCAGGACUUUCCAUUGCUCUCACAUCAGACUGCAUGGGGCAGUCCUAGAGGUCAAUGGUGCGUUAAAAGAGGAAGAAGAAAAACCAUGCUGAUAUGUACUGGGAAACAUGGGGGCACUCCCAAAUUCAGGCUGUAAAAAAAAAAAAAAAAGACAAUAUUUGAUAUGAGAAGCUACCAUUGAGUAGGAUAUGAACUUCAAUAACUUAAACACCUCAUUUUGUACAAAUACUACAAAAGCAGUAAUGCUAUAAAAUAGAGUAAACAUUUCAAAACAGACAGUUGUCAUCACGUCAAAGUUUAUACCGAGGGUCAUCGUGGCCUGACCUAGUAGUAUUACACAUGUUAACAUGGCUGGUUAAGAGAUAUUUUACCUGAGCAGAGAACAAAUCCAAAACAGGCAUGGUUGUUGGAGUAUGCAAUAUCUUUGUUCAAUACUUUUAAGUGAGGUAUGUCAUUUCAAUUUGAAUAUUCAAUUAAAAAAACAAAUAUCCCUCAAUUAUAAACAUAAAGAAACUCAAAGGAGUUAUCCCUUUCCAAAAAUACGUCUAGUUUCUGUCCAGCAUCUUAAUCUGAUUGAAAACGUCUGAUAAUGUUAUUACUUAAAGCCCAGUUGAAAACAGUGCAUUUCUGUCAAAAUGAGCAUGUUAAAGGGAGACUCAGUAAAAUGCCGUUGCCUCGACCAGCACCACAGAUACUGAGAUGAGCGAGAUGCAAGACUUUGCUCUCACACAGUAUCUGCACAUGUGCACGGGUUCACUUCACUCUGUUCACAGCGUUGGAACCAUGGCACCAAAACAGCAGAGAAGUCGAGCCUCUCGCUUCAACGCUCUUAGUUGUUUGGCUGAAAUUGACCCACUACGCUGUUUACUUUCUGCAUCUCCGUCAUAUCGAGUCCACACUUAAACUCAAUGACACAGUAGUAGCAAUACAAACGACAGAAAAAUAUGUUGUAAAUAAACAUUUAAAAGCAAAUGACCUAAAUGCUCUUAGAACUGAAAAGGUUCAUCUUUCCUACUAUAAUAAUAAAAAAAAUAGUAAUUUGGCGAAAUAUGAGGUUUGAGUGGAAUAGACCAAAAUGAAGCCACCAUACAGUCAGAACAGCAGUAUGGAAAGAGAGGACACAAUAGGCUUUCUCCUGGCCUGUUCAUAUCCCACUGGGCAGGGAGACACCAGGAUGCUUCCCAAAUGGCACCAUAUUCCCUUUAUAAUGCACUACUUUUAACCAGGGCUCUGGUCAAGAGAUGCAACCACAGUGGUUCUGGAGGGGACCAGUCAGGACACAAUGUCCGUAUGGGUUGAGAAGGUGGGGGUGGCUCUGGGACAGGAAGGUUAGUCUGUACUACAAAGCUCUGGUGUCUUGGGCAUCAGAUCCAUAGGGCUCCCUGACUGUGUGUUGAGCUGAAUCACAUUGCUGUUGCUCCGCCGCCG
ensembl:lncRNA